GGGCCAGACUCCUACGGGAGGCAGCAGUGAGGAAUAUUGGUCAAUGGGCGGGAGCCUGAACCAGCCAAGUCGCGUGAAGGAAGAAGGUACUUAGUAUUGUAAACUUCUUUUGUCGGGGAACAAAGGCGGAGACGCGUCUCCGGAUGAGUGUACCCGAAGAAAAAGCAUCGGCUAACUCCGUGCCAGCAGCCGCGGUAAUACGGAGGAUGCGAGCGUUAUCCGGAUUUAUUGGGUUUAAAGGGUGCGCAGGCGGGAGAUCAAGUCAGCGGUAAAAUGUCGGGGCUCAACCCCGGCCGGCCGUUGAAACUGGUUUUCUUGAGUGAGCGAGAAGUAUGCGGAAUGCGUGGUGUAGCGGUGAAAUGCAUAGAUAUCACGCAGAACUCCGAUUGCGAAGGCAGCAUACCGGCGCUCAACUGACGCUCAUGCACGAAAGUGUGGGUAUCGAACAGGAUUAGAUACCCCCGUA
rnacentral:rRNA from 1 species